CUACGGGCCGCAGCAGUGGGGAAUAUUGGACAAUGGGGGAAACCCUGAUCCAGCAAUGCCGCGUGUGUGGAGAAGGCCUGCGGGUUGUAAAGCACUUUCGGUUAGGAGGACUGCUUCUAGCACUAAUAUUGUUGGAAGUUGACGUUACCUUCAGAAGAAGCACCGGCUAACUCCGUGCCAGCAGCCGCGGUAAUACGGGAGGGUGCAAGCGUUAAUCGGAAUUACUGGGCGUAAAGCGCGCGUAGGCGGCUAGAUCAGUCGGGUGUGAAAGCCCCGGGCUUAACCUGGGAACUGCAUCCGAUACUGUCUAGCUUGAGUACAGGAGAGGAGAGUGGAAUUCCACAUGUAGCGGUGAAAUGCGUAGAUAUGUGGAGGAACACCAAUGGCGAAGGCAGCUCUCUGACCUGAUACUGACGCUGAGGUGCGAAAGCGUGGGGAGCAAACAGGAUUAGAUACCCCGGUAGUC
rnacentral:rRNA from 1 species